CUGGCUUGAGAAUAAGUGGUCACAGGUGUCCUGGUGUCAGCAAGAGUUGUUGAAAGGGUGUUGAUUUCAGAACUGGCCACUGUUGUGGUGCUGACAGGUAUACUUGUUAAUGCAGUGCUUCCUUCACUAGGCGUUGAGAUUGCUAUGCUGGUACCUUCAGCAGGUGUAGGAGAUGAACUGACUGCUGUAGAAGUGACCACAGGACUGUUAGAGUCAACAGGAGUUGUUGAAAGGGUGCUAGCCUCAGAAUUGGC
rnacentral:lncRNA from 1 species